CACGCAAAUUCGUGAAGCGUUCCAUAUUUUUAUUGGAACGAUACAGAGAAGAUUAGCAUGGCCCCUGCGCAAGGAUGACGCUAAUAAACAAGUAGGUAUUAAAUAUUCGA